AUUUCUCGUUCGAGCUUUCACCAUCGUAUGCCCAUGCUCCUUACAUGGUAUUUUCUAUUCAUCCCCAAUAUGGUGCUCCGAUCAUCUUGCGUAGGCUCUGAAAUCAUUUUAGCAUCAAGGUUACAGAUACUAUUGCUAAUGUUAUCAAAAUAAAUGUUAUGUUCAAAACUCAUUGUAUUACUGUUCUUUCAUGGGAUGUUUUAUCCAUUUGCUGUGUUAAACUAUGCAUCUUAGUGUGGAUUCCUUUGUCUAGCGUCCUGCAUGAAGCUGAUCCAAUGGAUUGGAACAUUCAGGUUGCAGUUCAACUUGAAAAGUUUUGUGCAAGUUAUGGGAAUGAGACAGCUUGACUGGCCUGAUUGGCUGACGGUUAAUCCAAAAGAAAAGGUCAGCCACCAUCUUUAUGAACACAGGAAUAUCUUUUGGUGUGAACACAGCAUGCAUCCAGAAAUACACUAGACAAAAAGAAACAUCAGCGGCCAUUUUUUUCAUAAUAUCUUUUAAUAUUAUAACUUCAUAAAUAUGUCUGUCUGCAUAGCUGCAAAAAUAGACCUUUUUAGAAACAGUCCAACAUUAACAGUAAGCGAGAGAGAGAGAAGGCAAUCUUAAAUUUGUAAUAUAAAAAGUUUAAUCGUCAGCAUAUGGAUUCUCAAGCAAACGUGACUGCCCCCAACUGCCAUCAGACCGAUGUUUGCAUUGCGGCUGACAAGCCUUGCUCCGUUUCUACUGUCAGAAAUACUCCCAUCAAAGAUGACUUUAAAGACACUCGAGGGCGAGGACUCCCAGAUGAUAUACAUACAACAGAUCACUGCAGAAGUAGAGAUAGAACCCCAGGUGUCCCACGAUGUCAAGGUCGCACUCUUCGAAGGAAGUCUCGUAAUCCCGAUUGCCUGCAAUAAGGCUCUCUCCAAGACAAUCCUUGCAAGCUAAAACCGAUCCUCAAAAAUCCAGCUAUUCCUAACCAAUCAAAUCUGAUAAGCAAUGCAAGCCAGUCAUACACCUUUAGCUCCAGAGGAUGCCGUCAUAGUGCUUGCUAGAGGUAGUCAAGGAAGGCCUAAACCGAUGUGGCGGAUGGGUGAUCUACAGGAGCACAGUGAUCAAUCCCCACACCUAGCUGGCCCACUGGCAUCUGAAGAGAACAUGCUUGAUUGACUUCACGUCGGAGCCACGUAAUAGGCACAUCAGGAAGAUAUCCAUCCCACGAUCACUGAGCACCUCUCUCGUAAGUAACUGACCCCAUGCUACCUUCCAAAUAAACAGACUAACCCCAAGGUGGACCCCCAGCCUCCAAAUUCAUGUCGCAUCCAACCUCCUGAUGGACUCCCUACUCUAAAGAUAAUAAAGAUCUCUGACUGGAGCCAUCGCACCAUAGAAAUCCCUCCAAACCUUCAUAUCUAGGCAAGCCUAAGUGGGGAUAGCUAAAGAUAAAACUCUCCCUGCUAGCUGAUGAUCACCAAACAGGCGGCCAACCCGAUUAACGUCCCAUCACCUCUCUCCUGGCCGAAACAAAUCACGAACCGUCAUACCCUCUAUCAUCUCGGUGCUGACUAUCGUUGACCACCCACAGCGAAAUGUCUACCAACCAAGCAUCACGAACUACGUUUGUGCUCCCGUCCCCAAUCAUCCAUUUGGUGUGAGCUAACACCUUCGCAACAUGUCCACAAAUUUUCUUUCAUAGGAAUGAAGUCCUCCCAACACGGAUGUCCGUACAUCAAUCCACAUGUCAUACUUCACCCUCUUUAGAGUGCUCUAGAUGCUCCUUGGCUCCAAUAAGAAUCUCGCAACAUGCCUGGCUAUCAUGGACUCGCGCCGAACCAACAACGACUGAAUACCCAAUCCCCUCUUACAAGUCGGUUGGCAAAUCAUAUCCCUCAACAAUAGAUGCACACCACUCCCACCUCCAUAGAAGCCCCACAAAACCUCCUAAACAUCCACUCCAAAUUGAGAAGGAAAGUCUUCAGAAGUAUGGUGCUAGAUAGGAGAUAAACAAGCACCGAACUAAGUACAUAUCUAUUAUGAUACUCAUGAAUUUAAAAUGCUUCUCAUCUUAGAUACCUAAAAAUUAAUCAUGUUAUUUAAAAGAAAGGUAAAACUUCAGCUCUAUGAAAUUUGAAUGUGAAAGAGGAUGCAACUAUGACACUCUUUAAAUACUAAAUAUUUUUAAGAAACUUCAAUCUGAGAUUACUCUCAUGAUGCUUAUCAAAUUAGUAAUAUUUCAGCCUUGAGAAACUUUUAACUCUUGAAUAUCAAUUAUGAUAGUCACGACUCUAAUAAGCUUAUUUUAGAAAGCCAUGAGCUAAUUCAAUUAGCCUUGAAUGUUUCCAGACAUUAAGAAACCUCAAUAUAAAGUAGUAAGGUUUCAAUCUUUAAGAAACUUUAAUCUGAAGGUAUUGAUCAUGAUAGCAUCAAACAUGAUACUCCUGCAUAAGAAGUUUCAGCACAUUGAACUCAUUUGAAGAAUCAGUCAUGGUAUUCAUUCAAUCAACAAAAUUUAAACUAAGAUGUUCGUGGAUUAAAAUUUCAGCUUAUGAAGUCAUGUGGGAUGAAAAAAAAAAGAAAAGAAAUGGUAAACAUGGUAUUCCUUUAAUUGAGGGAACUUCAACUUUAUAUAAUUCUAACAAACAACUGUUGAUUACAAUAUUAAGUUAAAACAAUCUAAUAUCUCAAACCAACUAUUGAGAAAAUAAGAGCAUCACUUUGUCAUACCACCCACUAUCACCAUCUCACAUGCACAAACAUGCUAAAAGGUACUAGUUGUGUAUAUUGGGCAUCUGUAUGCAUAAGUGGGUGCCCAUACAGGAGUGAAAUAUUUUAGAAAAUGUGCCCUGACAUGAAAGUAAUAAAUGAAGCAUUGAUAAAAACACCACCAUCUCGUAAGAAAUAUUUCGGCAAAUCAAAUUGACCAACUUAUGAUAUGGGGAAAAUGCUUUAGACACAUAAAGCCACAUAUACAAAGUUAAUAUUGGUAGCUUAUAGACUUUGGCAUGUAAAGAAAUUCCUUUUCAAAGGAUGUUAAGAGUUCUAGGUAAUAGGACCAAAAUACUGCAAAAUUUCUUGGAAUUUUCAUCUUAAGAAACUAAUGUCCAUGUUAAUUUUCACUAGUAGUAGUCAUAAGGAAUCAAACAUAUGAAAGCCACCAACAUGUUCAAUGAUGAAACCCAUCAUCCCUAUAAACAUUGCCAACUUAAAAAGCUGACAUAUUACCCAACCCUUUAAGAUGCAUGUGGUCCAAGCAUAGCUUAGCUAAGAAUAAUGUAAAAGAUUAUGACUACAUAUCAUAAAAAAAAUAUGCGACUGGUCGCAAUUAAACAAGUAUACACACACACACACACACNNNNNNNNNNNNNNNNNNNNAAUUUGAUGAGAGAACAUUUGGAUAAAAAAAAAUAGCUAUUACCCAAUGAGUUGCCGAGCAGUUGUUUUUCCAGACAUACAACAAAGUAGCCUCUGCAAAUUAAUUAGCAGUCCAACUUAAAAUACCUGUUAACAUAGUGUUGGAGCCACCAUAAAAACACCAAAUCUUAGUAGCUAUAGCAUCUUUAGUCUUAGGGUUUAGAUAGUUGGUCCCCUGGUAAGAAAACAACUCUUAAGAAAUAUGAAUAAGUCUUGCUUGAUCAAAAACACACAAACUGAGGAAACCAUUGAUGUUCAAGAAGCAAUAAGUACUUUGUUACCACCACGCAAUAAAUAAAAAAAUAGAAUGGAAGGGCAUUAUACCCGCCUAUUAGAAGGAAAAAAUGCAAAGACAACAUAUAUUUUUUUAACAAAUGCAAUAUAUGUAUUUAUGAGCCUGAAAUAAGCACAUAUACAUAGUGAGGAUAUAUUAUCAAAUAGAUAAUAUAAUUUUUUGUAAUAAAUGUUGCAGAAAAGAACAAGUGAAGUACAAACAUUGCACAUUUCAUAUUUUGAAGGAGAAUGUGUAAGAAAAGAUUUUUUUUUCACAAGCUACAAAAAGAGAAAUAUGUUUAAGCUUACCAUGCCAACUUAAAUACAAACUUUGCACAUUAUCAUAUUUUAAAGGAGAACGUGUAACAAAGGAUUUUUUUUUUCUCCCUCAAGAUAAAAGAGAGAAAUAUGUUUUAGCUUACAAUGCCAACUAACUCAGCACACUGGCAUUGCAAUUACACAAUCAUAUUGGCCUUCUGUUUUGUUUUCCUCCAUAUUGUCAAUCUGAGUUUAGCUUAAUGAUAUGCAUUUCUAUAUUUGCUAUCUUUGAUCUGCAAUAAAUCACAUGCAUUUAUCACCUUUUCUCAUGCUUGUGGUAAGUAUUUACACCCUUUAUAUCAUUGUUAAUAUAACCAACAACAAAAUAACCAAGUACUUGCCUUGUAAUUACUUAUGUCUCAUGACAUCUGACAAUCCCAAAAUACACAAGAAUACUCACUUCAUCUAGCUCAGUCUUACUGAAAAUGUUUUCGGAACUCCUCUAGUACUAUGUACAGGACAAGCUGACAAAACCAACCAUUCUAUGGUUUCUUGAAGCCUGGUAUUUUUAAUGAAAGUGCAUUCAAAUGAUUUCUUUAGUUCCUUAGUAACACCCAUUUGAAUUCUUGUGCCAUCAAUCAGCACCACAAAACAAUGAGCAUACAUCAUCAUGUUUCCUACGAGGUUUUAAAAUGAUGGAGGCAUCACAUGCGCAGCCUGGAGUUGGUCAGCAUACAUAGGCAUGCAAGAUGGGUGCCUGACCACAGCCACCGCUGCACCAAUGGCUACAGCAGAACCACCAACACCGGUUGCGCUGCAGGCACAACUAGCAGUCCACUCUACUUAACAUGAAAGAUGCACAAACAAAGAGUUACAUAUACAUCAAUGGAAAACCUCCCUUGUUCAAUUCUUACCAAGUUACCUGGAGGCCCAUCCAUCAUAUUACCUUUUCCAUUUUUGUUGUCGUAUGUAGGCCUCUCCCUUAGAUGCCUAUAAAGUGACUCAGGACCCAAUAAACAUGGCCUUCAUAGUCAGUCUCUCUUUUCUGGAAAAAAAGAACAUAAUUAAUGAACCAACCUAGUUGCUCUCAUAAACUCCCAUGAUUAUGUUGGUGAUUGUAGUGAACAUCUCACCCUUCUACACCCUCUUCAACAGCUCCUUAUUGAUUGGAUCAAUAUGACAAACACAUUUAUUAUUAUCUUAAAUGUAUUAUUCAAAAAGAAUCCUUAUUCACUCAACUUUUAAGCAUACUCGCCAAUUCUCAACUCACUACAUUUCACUUUAAUUGCAUUAUAAUCACUCUAAUGGGUUUUAUUGGCAUGUAUAUAUUCCUACUCUACCUUUCCCUUUCCAUUAAUAUUUUCGAACCUUUUCUCAAGCAUAAUCUAUUUCCGGGAUUUUUCUAAGACAUAAAGUUAGACUUAUAAAGUUAACUGACUUCUUGCAUUACUUUUUGUCAUUCACUAAACUAAGAUAUUUUUAUCAAUAUUUUUCCGAUUGUAGAAUUUAUUAUACCAAUAUCCCUAUUAGUAGUUUCAAAUAACUUUUCAUGAACCAUCUAUGGGACCAUUUUUUCACCACCAAUUUUCCAUGCCAAUAUGUCUUCAAACUAUAACAUGAGCAAUGUUUCUUAAUUUCUUAUCAUCAUAGUAACUUCUCAAAAUCCAUACCAUGUUUGCUUGCUACGUAACUUCAACUUUACCUCUUUUAAAUUAAUGCACUGCCCGCCGUUGAAGGUCACCACCACUAAGACCCUAUUUGGGAUUACUGUUGGCAGUAGAGCUUUUGAAGCUUUUGAGAAACAGAAUUUUUGAAAGUAGAGCUUUUACAAAAAGCUAUUUGCUAUUUGAUAACCAUAUUAAUAAAGCGCUUUGAGGAAAGCAAAAUAGCUUCUCGAUAUUAGCCAAAAAGUACUUUUGGGGACAGCUUCAAAAUACAGCUUUUCCCAAAUAGAUCUUUUUAGCUUUCUAGCAAAGUCAAAACAGCUUUCCGACAUUUUUAUCAAACAUCGCUGUAUCACUGCAAAGUACUUUCUGAGAGCCAGAAAGUGCUUUCUGGCACUCUAAAAGCUUAGCCAAAUAAGGCCUAAGACAACUACUUGUUCCAUCUUCACACAACCAAUACAUGCAAGCAUCUUAAUCAUUUUAAAAUUUAACAAGGUAAAUUCUUAAUUUGUGUCCCAGCUAAUCCACUCCCACAAUAUAUUAAAUGGUCAUUUAUGUUCUUCAAAUAUGUAUCCACCAAUAUUGCAUAAUGGGUCUCAUUGUAAAAUCAUUUAUUAUGUUCCUCAUUACUUCUGUAGCUUUACAUUUGCAUCUCUACCAUCUUUCCCUGCAAAGAUAUUCAAGUUUUACCAAUAAAAAUCAUUCUCUUUCAUUCAAACAUACAUCUAGACAAACAAUAAUUUUCACUAUGGCAUACAAAACAUAUGUUCUGCAUAUGCAUUUACCCAACAAUUACAAAUUUAGCUAAUGAGUGACCAUGGCAAAUCAUUUAACUUAUUAACAGAAUUGGACAACGACCUUAAAUCAUAAUAGGCAUCUGCAUAUGAAACAAACACUAAGCAUACAAAGUUUUAGAACAGCAUUAAACUAAGGCCUUGUAUAAUGGUAGAAUCAAACAUGCAAAAUUGCAACAGUAUUAUUAAUAACUAUUAUAAGAUGGAUUUGGAUUUCAAUAAAUCUAUUGUUCAAUGAACUUGUGGAGGAAAGGCGUACUAAGUUAUUGAAAGUUUUCAAGCGCUCUUCAUUCAGCACUUGAAAUAGUUGAUAAUUAAAGAGCUCUUACUUGCUUUAAAAUGUUUAAAUAUAACACUCCAAGUGUCAGCAACUUAGCCAAAACAAGCAUGACAUACACAUGAGGGGGUAGUACAUAUUCUGGUGUCACAUCCAAGUGUCAGAAGUUUCAAAGGUCCAGUGCCAUAAAACUUCAACUCUGAAAAUCUUUAGACCUUUUAAAGUGCAGAUCAGAAGCUCCAGUCAAAUUGAUACAAACACAUAAUCAUUUUAUGUGGUAAAAUCAUUAUCUAUAUCAAAGAAUCUAUAUAUCUUACAUUUUUUCAAAAAUAAUUAUGUAUCUGAACUUAAAUUAGGCAUAUUGCUACUUAUAAAUCUGAAACUACUUUUAAAAUCUCAUGAGAUUCUUGGAUGCAUUAGUCUUACAUUAGAAUAAAAAAAACUGGAUAUAUACAUGAUUGUAGUGGCCGCAAGCAUAGAGCUGAUAAGCAAUCUAGCCAUGAUAGGAAGUAAAAGGGGAUAAGAACCAUAUAAAAGAAGAUUAAGUCAAUGCUGCAAAUAGUGAAAGCAAAGUUUGUAAGAAGAAUGUACUCAUUGUGCCUCCUAGACUUGGUUAAUAAAAACGAUUCACCAAUCAAACAUAAAGCUCACAUGGUGUGGUUCAUACUGUAACAUCUCAGAAUUCAUCAAUAAGUAUAUCUUUUCCCUCACAAAACUCAUAGUGAUUCUAAUAUCAACAACAUAUGGCAAGAUUAAAACAUUGCAUGUAUCGGAACUCAUACUACAAUAAUAUAAUCUCUUUGAUAAUGCAUCUACAUCAAAGAAAAUGAAGCAGUAAGCAAUGUAACAUCCAACAAAGCAAAAAUGGCAGGUGUUGGGGGUAAAGUUAUAAGAUUUUAUCAAUAUAAAAUUGUAAUGAAAUCUUUGAUAAGACUUAUCUUAUCACAGUCACUGAACUUAACUAUUAGAACCCUUCCAGCAAAUUUCAACUUAUUAGCAAGUAGCAACCGCUGAGCAAGCACUUGGCCAUGAACCCAUACAUAUGCAAUAAUUGAUAAUCAAAGAAUUGGCAGAUGCCGGUAAUUUCUGAUUAAAAAGGAUAAGUUGAAAUGAAUAAGGGAUAUUUAUUGUCUAAAGAUUAUUUAGAGGUUAAAAAAUGAACUUGUGAUGUUCCAACUUUUCAACCAUACAAGCACUAAGAUGGAAAACAGGCAGACUGAGAAUGUGAGUUACAAACAUUAAAAAAGUUCUUUUAGAUACGAUCUUGAAUAUGGCAACAUCAAAGACUAAGAGGAAUCAAAUAAUUCCAAACAUAUGGGUCAAAGUUGGGAAACCCUACACAUUUCAAGAAAACCCAAAAGAAAUCAUCAGAAAGAUGCUACCUGUAAGAUGCCUACAUCAAGACUUAUAGGACAUACAGUAACCACAGGCAUCUGAGUCAAUGUCAGGAAAUUGGAUAAAUUUCCAGAAAAUGCAAAAGAAAUCAUCAUAAAGAUACUAGUUUUAAGAUAACGACAUCAAUGACUUAUAGGACUCACGUAAUUGCAACAUCCGUAUCAAAGCCAGGCAAUCAUAGAAAUUUCAAGAAAACCCAAUAGGAAUCAUCAGAAAGAUAAGCAACAUCAAUGACUUAUAGACUCACGCAACUGCAAGCAUCUGUAUCAAAGUUAGGAAAUCAUAGAGAACCCAAAAGAAAUCAUCAGAAAGAUACUGGCUCUAAGAUGGCAACAACAUUGACUUGUAGGACCGAACUAAUUGCAAACGAUUGUGUCAUGUAAGGAAAUCAAAGAAAUUUCAAGAACCCAAAGAAAUUAUCAAAGAUGCCUGAUUCUUUGAGAUGAGAAAAUCAAUGAUUCAUAGUAUAACACUAAGUAUGUCCACAUACCAACACGUCAAUAGAACUUCCUUGACCUCAGUUCGACGAUCAAGAAGCCAUCAAACGAAAAAGCAUCCAAUUCAACGAUCAAGAAAAUGAAAGAAAGCCAACUGUGGUGCGACAGGAUUACAACGAAGGGGAAUGAGAAAAAGGUAAAGAAACGAGGAGAGGGCAAAUUAAAUUAAAUUUUAAUGGAUAAUUACAGUUUCGUGCGGAAGAAUAAACCAAAUUCCGCAGAAAUUCUUGGCAAAAGGGAGAAGAAACUUCUUGAAAAGCAAAAAAAAAAGAGACUAUAAUCAGUAAAUAAAUAAAUUCUGCUCGAAUAAAACCCUAGAUAUCUUACCGCAUUGGGGGAAGAGGGACCAAGAGGGGAACAUGAGCUCUCGUCACCGAUCAAAGCCACCGAACAGGAAACGGCACCUUCGUCGUGUUGCCACCGGAAGACGUCGGAGAGGAGACGACACUUUCGUCAAUCAAAGACGCCGGAGGGGAGAGACGCCGCCUUCGCCGCGAAUCAAGAGAGUAUGGAGUCGCUGGUCUAGC
rnacentral:lncRNA from 1 species